rnacentral:rRNA from 1 species
AUUGAACGCUGGCGGCAGGCUUAACACAUGCAAGUCGAGCGGGGAAAGGGAGCUUGCUCCCGGACCUAGCGGCGGACGGGUGAGUAAUGCCUAGGAAUCUGCCUAUUAGUGGGGGACAACAUCUCGAAAGGGAUGCUAAUACCGCAUACGUCCUGCGGGAGAAAGCGGGGGACCUUCGGGCCUCGCGCUAUCAGAUGAGCCUAAGUCGGAUUAGCUAGUUGGUGGGGUAAAGGCCUACCAAGGCGACGAUCCGUAACUGGUCUGAGAGGAUGACCCGCCACCUGGGAACGGGGCACCGCCCCGGACUCUACCGGGGGCAACCGGGGGGGAUUUUUGGCCAAGGGGGGAAAGCUGGAUCAGGCAAGCCGGGUGGGGUGAAGAGGGUUUUUGGAUGUUAAACACCUUUAGCGAGGGGGAGAGUGCAGUGAGUUAUACCCUUGCUUUGUGGACGUUACUCGCAGAAUAAGCACCGGCUAACUCCGUG